AAUACAGAGGUGGCAAGCGUUGUUCGGAAUUACUGGGCGUAAAGGGCGCGUAGGCGGUCUUGUAAGUCUUGUGUGAAAUCCCUCGGCUUAACUGAGGAACUGCACGGGAUACUGCAUGACUUGAGAUCGGGAGAGGGAAGCGGAAUUCCGGGUGUAGCGGUGAAAUGCGUAGAUAUCCGGAGGAACACCGGUGGCGAAGGCGGCUUCCUGGACCAACACUGACGCUGAGGAGCGAAAGCCAGGGGAGCAAACGG
rnacentral:rRNA from 1 species